UACGUAGGGGGCAAGCGUUGUCCGGAUUCAUUGGGCGUAAAGAGCGUGUAGGCGGCCAGGUAGGUCGGUUGUGAAAACUGGAGGCUCAACCUUCAGAGGUCGACCGAAACCAUCUGGCUAGAGUCCGGGAGAGGAGAGUGGAAUUCCUGGUGUAGCGGUGAAAUGCGCAGAUAUCAGGAGGAACACCGGUGGCGAAGGCGGCUCUCUGGACCACAACUGACGCUGAGGCGCGAAAGCUAGGGGAGCAAACAGG
rnacentral:rRNA from 1 species